rnacentral:rRNA from 1 species
CCUAUGGGGGGCAGCAGGCGCGAAACCUUUACAAUGCGGGCAACCGUGAUAAGGAAACCCCGAGUGCCCGUAAACGCGGGCUGUCCAUCUGUAUAAAAAGCAGGUGAAGAAAGGGCCGGGCAAGACCGGUGCCAGCCGCCGCGGUAAUACCGGCGGCUCGAGUGGUGGCCACUAUUACUGGGCUUAAAGGGUCCGUAGCUUGAGCAAUAAGUCCCUUGGGAAAUUCAGCAGCUUAACUGGUGAUAGUUCAGGGGACACUGUUGUUCUAGGGAUCGGGAGAGGUAAGAGGUACUGCCGGGGUAGGAGUGAAAUCCUGUAAUCCCGGUGGGACCACCGAUGGCGAAGGCAUCUUACCAGAACGACUCCGACAGUGAGGGACGAAAGCUGGGGGAGCAAACCGGAUUAGAUACCCGCGUAGUCC